rnacentral:rRNA from 1 species
AUUGAACGCUGGCGGCAGGCUUAACACAUGCAAGUCGAGCGGGGGAAGGUAGCUUGCUACCGGACCUAGCGGCGGACGGGUGAGUAAUGCUUAGGAAUCUGCCUAUUAGUGGGGGACAACAUCUCGAAAGGGAUGCUAAUACCGCAUACGUCCUACGGGAGAAAGCAGGGGAUCUUCGGACCUUGCGCUAAUAGAUGAGCCUAAGUGGGAUUAGCUAGUUGGUGGGGUAAAGGCCUACCAAGGCGACGAUCUGUAGCGGGUCUGAGAGGAUGAUCCGCCACACUGGGACUGAGACACGGCCCAGACUCCUACGGGAGGCAGCAGUGGGGAAUAUUGGACAAUGGGGGGAACCCUGAUCCAGCCAUGCCGCGUGUGUGAAGAAGGCCUUAUGGUUGUAAAGCACUUUAAGCGAGGAGGAGGCUACUUUAGUUAAUACCUAGAGAUAGUGGACGUUACUCGCAGAAUAAUCACCGGCUAACUCUGUGCCAGCCGCCGCAGUAA